CCCGGUGAUAUUUUAACGGCCGCAGUUAGAAGCUGUGCUAAGGUAGCGUAAUAAGUUGUCCUUUAAAUGGGGAAAGGAAUGAAUGGUUUGACGUGAGAAACGCUGUCUCAAGAAAAAGGUAAGAAAUUUUCUUUUCGGUGAAAAGCCCGAAAUUCCAUUAAAAGACGAGAAGACCCUUUCGAGCUUGAUAAAGUUCGUAAUAAGUUGCGUAAUGAAAGUUUAGUUGGGGCAACUUAGGAGCAAAAAAAGACUCCUUGAGGAUUAUUAUGAGGAUCCAAAAUUUUUGAAAAGAGAAAAAGCUACCGUAGGGAUAACAGCGUUAUCUUUUCUGAGAGAACAAAUUGAAGAAAAG
rnacentral:rRNA from 1 species